ACGGGUGAGUAACGCGUGGGAAUCUACCCAUCUCUACGGAAUAACGCAUGGAAACGUGUGCUAAUACCGUAUACGUCCUUCGGGAGAAAGAUUUAUCGGAGAUGGAUGAGCCCGCGUUGGAUUAGCUAGUUGGUGGGGUAAAGGCCUACCAAGGCGACGAUCCAUAGCUGAUCUGAGAGGAUGAUCAGCCACACUGGGACUGAGACACGGCCCAGACUCCUACGGGAGGCAGCAGUGGGGAAUAUUGGACAAUGGGCGCAAGCCUGAUCCAGCCAUGCCGCGUGAGUGAUGAAGGCCCUAGGGUUGUAAAGCUCUUUCACCGGUGAAGAUAAUGACGGUAACCGGAGAAGAAGCCCCGGCUAACUUCGUGCCAGCAGCCGCGGUAAUACGAAGGGGGCUAGCGUUGUUCGGAUUUACUGGGCGUAAAGCGCACGUAGGCGGACUAUUAAGUCAGGGGUGAAAUCCCGGGGCUCAACCCCGGAACUGCCUUUGAUACUGGUAGUCUUGAGUUCGAGAGAGGUGAGUGGAAUUCCGAGUGUAGAGGUGAAAUUCGUAGA
rnacentral:rRNA from 1 species